GUAAGUCAGGGUUACACAUGCCUCAAGUGGAACUAGUUAGCGCUAAUGGUCUUCUAAUCUUAUUGUUGAUCUCCAAGUUAUGUUUAAGGGGGGAUGUUGGAACCUUGUAAUGGUUAGUAAACCCAACUUGUAGUAGAUGUAGGCACAUCGUGUGGAUUAGUAUGAUGCUUAAUUGACAUGUGUGAUGGUGGCUAGUGCAUUGACAUGUUGGAUAGUGCAUUGGGCAGAUUGAAGACCAUUGGAGCUGACUAGGUCCACUUGAGGCAUGUGUAACCUUGACUUAU
rnacentral:pre_miRNA from 1 species